rnacentral:piRNA from 1 species
UGUAAAUGCAUAUAACAGAUGGAGAAGCCU